AUGGCGCAGAAGGUGUGCAGCCACCGCCUUUUCUGUUUCCUUCGCUUCCGGUUGUAGUGGACGGCUAUUUAUGGCCUGCCCACCUCCUCUCCAAUAGCUCAUCCUCGAUGCCUAGCGAUUAUGGAGGCGACGACGACGGUCGACAGAGCUAUGGCGACGUCAACGAUGGGUGAUGAGGAGGAGGCGGAGGCGGCAGGACGCAAAGCAGGAUCAUGACGAGGUGGGGCAGCUGCUCGCCGGCCCAAGAGGACGAAGUGGCGUAUCCUUGAUGUAAUAGAAAGAUGAUACAUUAAGAAAAAACUUUAUAACCAUGUAUGUUGUAAUAGUGUAACGAGCUAUGACUACCUGAUCUGUCACAUUUUCACUUCCCUGCA